rnacentral:tRNA from 2 species
ACUUUUAAAGGAAAGAAGAUAUCCAA